rnacentral:rRNA from 1 species
UACGAAGGGGCGAGCGUUGUUCGGAUUUACUGGGCGUAAAGGGCGCGCAGGCGGCUCAUUUUGUCAGGCGUGAAAGCCCGGGCUUAACCUGGGAACUGCGUUUGAUACGGAUGGGCUAGAGUUCGGGAGAGGAGAGUGGAAUUCCAGUGUAGAGGUGAAAUUCGUAGAUAUUGGGAAGAACACCGGUGGCGAAGGCGGCUCUCUGGACCGAUACUGACGCUGAGGCGCGAAAGCGUGGGGAGCAAACAGG